CCCGAGUAUCAUUUCAAAAGGCGCCAGAGAGAGCAAAACAAAUGAAUAACGCUACAUUUCAAGUCUAGUACCUUUUUGCUGCAUUUCGUACCUAUGAAUUAUCUAAACUUUGAAAUAAAAAAAAAAACUGCGUCAUUAGAUAGUUACGAAACAAGGUACCUAACAAGCCACUGACAGCCUAACGAAGCCUAGCAGUGUCAGUGGUUCAUUUGCUUCGAAGCGGUUCACUGGCUGGUAUCACUGGUUCUCUGUCCCCUGCUGCGGUUGACCACUCUUAUGCUAGUGGUGGUGGCCGCCUGACCGCCCUCCUGCUGCUGCUGCUGCUAUGUGUGCUGUGUGCUGUGUGUUGUCAGGGCCUUGUUCAUUGGUUUACUGGUUCAUGGUCCCCUGUCCACUGGUGAAGCUGACAGGUAGAAGUAAAAGCGACCAGCACACCAUUAACCAGAGGGCAGGAACAGAUAGAAUGGCUUUGUGUAUGUUCAUAAGCAGAAAUUUAAAUAAUCUUCCACUCCCGUACUGUGCCGUGUUACCAUUACCACGCCAGUUUGUCAUUCUUCCACCUUCGAGUCUCGUCCUCCACUUGUCGAUGCUGGAAUGUUUAUAUAAUCCUUUGGUGUGGAGGAGGAGGAGGAGGA